UACAGAGGGGCAAGCGUUGUUCGGAAUUACUGGGCGUAAAGGGCGCGUAGGCGGCCUGUUAAGUCGAACGUGAAAUCCCCGGGCUCAACCCGGGAACUGCGUCCGAUACUGGCAGGCUUGAAUCCGGGAGAGGGAUGCGGAAUUCCAGGUGUAGCGGUGAAAUGCGUAGAUAUCUGGAGGAACACCGGUGGCGAAGGCGGCAUCCUGGACCGGCAUUGACGCU
rnacentral:rRNA from 1 species